CCUGUGGUGUCUUAGCCCCAAUUGGCAGCAUGACAUGAUUAAGAGAUUCCAGGGAGGUGAUUGGAUGACCAGCUGGGGCUAGUGGAAUGUGCUGUUGGGAGCUGGGGCCCGUGCUUGCAGGGUGUAUCUCUCGCUGGCACCUCCCUGGGUUGUACUUCUCUUUACCCUGAAGCAGGAAGCUCUGGUCCUCACAGCCUUCCACCAUGAUAUUCCUGCCUUAGAGCCAGCAAGCCAUGGACUCAAACCUCUGAAACUAAAUCUUGGAGGAUGUUAAGAGAAAAAGAAGAGGGAUCCUAAUUGAAAGCUUGGGAAUCCUGCCUUGCAAGAUGGGGUUAGAAGCCUUCUACUUAAGAGGGCUGUAUGAGAUGGAAAAAUGAUCAGAGAAUCAAAGAUGAAGAAGAAUAAAAUCAGGAAGACAUGGAAAUUAAGGGUGACCAAAUAGCAAACCGACCUUUGGAGGCUCACCGAUCACUCUGUUAAAAGACUUAAAACACAGCUCAUUUUGAAUCUCCAGGAAGUGGAACUCAUGCAGUGAUGUGAGCACUGGGGAGCAGCUGUAAAUACAGUUGAAGCUUUGGCUGAAGCUAAUGUCCUGCUGUGCCUGGUUCCUAACAGACUGUGGACUGGUACUGAUGUGUGGGUCCAGGGUUGGGGACCCUUUGCAUGAAACGAUAACUCACCUCUUCUCUCAGGUUCUGAUAAUUUCUGUUCUUUCUGUCUCUGAAUUUGCAUAUUGUAGACCCUUCAUGAAAGUAGAGUCAUAAUACUUGCCCUCCAGUGUCUGGCUUAUUUCAUUAAGUGUGUUUUCAAGGGUCACUUUUGGUUGGGGGUGUAGUUCAGUGGUAUAACACAUGUUUAGCAUGCACAAAUCCCUGUGUUCACUUCCCAGCACCAAAAAUAAAAAGUUGAUCUGAAUUGUAGUAUCAGAAUUUCAUUUCUUUUUAGGACUGAA
rnacentral:lncRNA from 1 species